UGUGGUAUGGCUCAAGUGGUAACGCUUUUGUCUUUCGUUUUGAAGGUUCCGGGUUCGAUUCCCCAUUGGGUAA